GAUGAACGCUGGCGGCGUGCCUAAUACAUGCAAGUCGAGCGAAUGGAUUAAGAGCUUGCUCUUAUGAAGUUAGCGGCGGACGGGUGAGUAACACGUGGGUAACCUGCCCAUAAGACUGGGAUAACUCCGGGAAACCGGGGCUAAUACCGGAUAAUAUUUUGAACUGCAUGGUUCAAAAUAGAAAGGUGGCUUCGGCUGUCGCUUUUGGAUGGACCCGCGUCGCAUUAGAUAGUUGGUGAGGUAACGGCUAACCAAGGCAACGAUGCGUAGCCGACCAGAGAGGGUGAUCGGCCAAACUGGGACUGAGACACGGCCCAGACUCCUACGGGAGGCAGCAGUAGGGAAUCUUCCGCAAUGGACGAAAGUCUGACGGAGCAACGCCGCGUGAGUGAUGAAGGCUUUCGGGUCGUAAAACUCUGUUGUUAGGGAAGAACAAGUGCUAGUUGAAUAAGCUGGCACCUUGACGGUACCUAACCAGAAAGCCACGGCUAACUACGUGCCAGCAGCCGCCGUAA
rnacentral:rRNA from 1 species